UACGGGGGGGGCAAGCGUUGUUCGGAAUUACUGGGCGUAAAGGGCUCGUAGGUGGCCAACUAAGUCAGACGUGAAAUCCCUCAGCUUAACUGGGGAACUGCGUCUGAUACUGGAUGGCUUGAGAUUGGGAGAGGGAUGCGGAAUUCCAGGUGUAGCGGUGAAAUGCGUAGAUAUCUGGAGGAACACCGGUGGCGAAGGCGGCUCUCUGGGCCUUACCUGACGCUGAGGAGCGAAAGCGUGGGUAGCGAACAGG
rnacentral:rRNA from 1 species